rnacentral:lncRNA from 1 species
UCUUCAUUUGCACUUUAUUUGCAAUUGCAAAAAUUCAGGCAUGCAGGGCUUACAAGUUAGAGACAAAUGGCAUCUAAACUGGCUUUCUCUUCUCUACAGGUUUCUUUCCAGAAUCUUUGGACAAUAGGUGGAGUGGCGGCAGAAAGGGGAAGAAUGGACAUGUGGACCAUUUGGCUGAUCACGUCACUCUAUAGAUGAACUUCUACCACAUUUGAGCGCCCACAUUGAAGACAAAAAUUUGGACAAAACAAAGGAAUGAAUGUUGGACAGAAGUUUCGAAGACCUCUAUGGAAAGAUAAAGCUCUCAGAGGUAUCAACCUCAUAUGAAAGCGUCCUUUAAAAGGUCGUUUUAUUAAGGCUAUGGCAAAGAAAUAAUUUUUGGAAAUGGUAGCUUUCCCAUUAGAUGGAAUGUUUAUUUUCCCUUGAUUUUAAACAGUCUACAGUGUACUUUUAUUUCCUAACUUAUUUAAUUGUCAGAACAGCCCUAUGAGCUAAGAAUUAGCAUUUCCACCCUUGUAGGAGAGCUGGUAUGUCAACCCUUGUCUCUUGAACAUGAAAAUAUAUGUUCCAAAUUAUUAUAUCAGGAAUACAGGAGCAACUCCAUGUAUUUUAAGUAAAGGAAAGUGAGACUCAAAUAUUUUAUCAAAAAAUAAAAUAGAAAACAAAGAAGCA